rnacentral:sRNA from 1 species
UCAAAAGUACCGGCAUUUAAAGCUGGUAAAGAACUAAAAGAAGCUGUAAAGUAAUAUAAAACGCCGGAAAGCUAAAACUUUCCGGCGUUUUGUAUU